UACGGAGGGUGCAAGCAUUAAUCGGAUUUAUUGGGCGUAAAGGGCGCGUAGGCGGUAAGAAAAGUCAGAUGUGAAAUCCCGGGGCUCAACCUCGGAACUGCAUUUGAAACUCUUUUACUAGAGGGUAGGCGGAGAAAAUGGAAUUCCACAAGUAGCGGUGAAAUGCGUAGAUAUGUGGAAGAACACCGGUGGCGAAGGCGAUUUUCUAGCUUAUACCUGACGCUGAGGCGCGAAAGCAAGGGGAGCAAACAGG
rnacentral:rRNA from 1 species